CUGCCUGAAGCUUGUUGUACACAAACUUGUUUAAUGGGGGGGGGGGAUGUUAAAAAAACCCAAAAAACCUCCUGAGGAAAAACGGCUGCUGUCUCAGCUCCCAGGCAGAGUUCUUCUAAUGGAGGUAGAAUUCUGGGAGGCUACAUUAGAGAAAUCUGAGUCUCUCUCCUGUCAUGGAGGUUCGUGGAGAUGGUGGCCAACUUUCCAAUGUCUGAAAACCAGACCCCUGCCCCACCUCUUUCCCCAAAGCCCUGCCCCCUACUCACUCCUCUCCCUCCUCAUCUCCAGCGUGAGCAGCACCAAGGGACCUGCAAUCCUGAGCCGCAUGGGAGUGCAGGUUAGCUCAAAAUCCAGGCCAGGGGAAGGAUCUGAACUCCACUCUUCACUGCCCUACGUGGAGGGCGCGACGGCAAAGAUCUACACAACACCCUCUGGCCUUCGAGCCGCAUGACUCAUGUUACUGGGGCAACGUCCGGGGAGGAAGGAAAUAGUGUAGUAAAAAAUAAAACCACAGCCCAGCUGAGUGCGAGAGACGAGCAGAGCCAGAGCCCGAGCAGCAGGAAAUCACAGCCUGGCUGGAGCGCUGCAGAGAUGGUCUGAGUCAUUAUCAACGCCUGCAGGUAUGUGGCAGCAAAAAUUGGGAGCCUGUGUGGCCACAGAGCUGAGGAGCCCCUUACCACCACGGCCCGCCCAGCAGACCACAGCCAGAAGCAAAAUGUAAACACAGUGAUAGCAGAAGCCCCCCCUCGGGUGACGGACGCAGUCACUAGGGACAAGGUGCUCGGCCCUGAACAGCCCUGCGGAUCCUGAGGGUAGAUGGCCUCAGGGCCUUCCUUGGAAGCCCUAGAUCUUCUUUCUCAUGGACUCCGCGAGGGUCUUGGUCUGCUGGGGCUCCUGGUCCCCGGGGCUCGGAAGUGUGUGUUCACCAGUAAAUCCAUCAUGCGUUUGCUCUCUGUCCAUUUGUAUAACAAUAUGAAUUGUCUUUAUUAACCCCUUGCCACAAGGAUUUCCCAGCAUGAAAGACAAAUUAAGUCCGACACUCAGCACCUGCGAGAACUGCUGCCUGCAAAACUCACUCCAGGCUCUGUACUGGGGCCAGGGAGAAUAUGUUACCCUUCUCGGUCUAAUAACAAACCAAAGUCGUCUUCAAUACGUACCUAGGGCCAGAUUCUGGUCUCAUGUAUACUGGGGUAACUUCAGAGUAACUUCACUGAAGUUAAUAGCGUCAGAUCCUCGGCUGGUAUAAAUUAGUACUGCUCCAUUGAUUGGAGCUAUGCUGAUUUGCACCAGCUGAGGAUUUGGACCAGAGUAGCUCUGAAUUUACACUGGUAUAACAGAGAAUCUGGCCUUUAGGGCUAAAAAUCAUCUCUAAAACAGUUAUGAAGCAGAGAAACUCCAUUGAUUUCAAUGAAGUUACACUGGAUCUACAUGGAGUAAGAGAGAGCAGAAUUUGGCCCAUGGAGGGAAGACACCACCCUUGCAUGGGUGGAUGGAUCUGGCCCUCGGUGAUCCGAUUUCCUUUCCUCUGGCAAGUUCUCCCUGUAUUGUCACAGUGAGCAAUGACGACAGAUUCACAAACUCCUUUGUGUGGAGAUGAACAAGUCUGAAUCCUUCCUGUGCUACAAACCCUCAAUUCAACCAGCAAUAAAGACUAAAAUCAGAAUGAAA